GAUGAAGAACGUAGCGAAAUGCGAUAAGUAAUGCGAAUUGCAGAAUUCCGUGAGUCAUCGAAUCUUUGAACGCACAUUGCGCCCUCUGGCAUUCCGGAGGGCAUGCCUGUCUGAGCGUCAUUGUCAACCCUCAAGCUCAGCUUGCUGUUGGGUCCCCGUCGUUGCUUUAACGGCGGACCCGAAAGGUAAUGGCAGAGUCCGUGAGACCCUAGACGCAGCGAGCUUCUAGCACGCGUCUGGACGUUUUUCGGGCUCGGUCUUAACUAGAUGAUAACUUCCGAUUGACCUCAGAUCAGGUAGGGAUACCCGCUGAACUUAAGCAUAUCAAUAAGCGGAGGA
rnacentral:misc_RNA from 1 species